rnacentral:sRNA from 1 species
UAGAGCAGGGGUUAGCAUGUCCGCCUAUGACUCUGAAUGCCUAAGAUCGAAUCCCAGCAAUAACAGCAGAACAACAUUUGUGGGGUACUAUGCCAUAUUAAAACUUCCCCCGAACAGGUGUCACACUGUGACACGCCAUUUGAACUCGGUUAUAAAAAGGAAGCCCCUUAUCACUGAGCUAAAAACUUGAGUCGUACAGCACUCAUUAAUAUAUGAGAAGUUUGCCCUAGUACCAGCCACAAGACGGAAAUAACAGGAUAAAUUUUGCUUUCUGUGUACCAGAUAUUUAAAACAAUCUUGUUAACAUAUUUUCUAAUUAUUUAGGGCUAUAAGAAAAACGACACAAAUUUUUAAAGUCAUGCAAAAAUUACGAUUUUUUUAUAGUAGGAAAAUCAAGCACUUCAAGGGGUUCCGACAAAGUGAAACAUUUUGCUAAUCACCGCGACUUGUUAAGCGAAAAACUCAAUUUCUUAGCUUUCAAAAGAGUUGUUAAUAUAUUUCUAUAAAUAUUUUAUAGAUUGAAAAUAUUUAAAUUCAUUCGACAGCAGGAGCUUGAGCGAAAGAGGUCAUGAGUUUAAAGGCAAUAUUUACAGUUAUUUUCAUAGCAGUCCUAAUUAUGGCUUAUGUUGGGGUAGAAGCAAAGCCUCAAGGUAUAGCGAAGGAUUUCUUUGGUGGUCUAGAAGGAGUAGCCAGUUCUAUUACAUCGGCUAUGGGAUAAAUAGUAAAGUAGGUAUACCCUACAUCGGCUAUGGGAUAAAUAGUAUAUCCUCUACGUUUCACAUGUGAACUUUUUGCUGAAAAAAUUACCCUAACUAUUUAAAAGCUUACACAAUAAAUAAACGAUCAGUGUCUUAUAAUGAAAAUCA